rnacentral:snRNA from 1 species
UGGUCGAUUAAGACAGCAGG